UGUAUAUAAAGGUGCAGGCCUGGCUGUGGAGGUGAGAAGCUUGCUUCCCAACCACAUGGUUCCAGGUUCAGUCCCACUGUGUAGCACCUUGGGCAAGUGUCUUCUACUAUAGCCUCGGGCCUUGUGAGUGGAUUUGGUAGACGGAAACUGAAAGAAGC